rnacentral:sRNA from 1 species
UAUUUUUUAACACUAAAACACACACAUAUCACAAGCUAGGAAUUGGGGUGUCUUUAACAGAUUGAUUUUCUAGGAUAUGUGGAGGCUAAAC